rnacentral:rRNA from 1 species
GAGUUUGAUCGUGGCUCAGAUUGAACGCUGGCGGAAUGCUUUACACAUGCAAGUCGAGCGGCAGCGCGGGGCAACCUGGCGGCGAGCGGCGAACGGGUGAGUAAUGUAUCGGAACGUGUCCUGAGAUGGGGGAUAGCCCGGUGAAAACCGGAUUAAUACCGCAUACGAUCGAGAGAUGAAAGUGGGGGACCGCAAGGCCUCACGUCUUAGGAGCGGCCGAUAUCUGAUUAGCUAGUUGGUGGGGUAAAGGCCCACCAAGGCUUCGAUCAGUAGCUGGUCUGAGAGGAUGAUCAGCCACACUGGGACUGAGACACGGCCCAGACUCCUACGGGAGGCAGCAGUGGGGAAUUUUGGACAAUGGGGGCAACCCUGAUCCAGCCAUUCCGCGUGAGUGAAGAAGGCCUUCGGUUGU